rnacentral:misc_RNA from 1 species
ACAACCCUCAGGCCCUGGUGCCUGGCGUUGGGGCACUACAGCUUGCUGUAGGCCCUGAAAUUCAGUGGCGGGACCGCUGUAGACCCGGGCGUAGUAACUUUACGUCGUCUAGGGUGCUGUGGCGGACCCCAGCCGUUAAAACCACCACGUUUUAUCAU